GCUACUGCUACGCGUGGCAGUGAUGAUGUGGAGUGGACACUCCUCGGACCAGUCAACAAAUCAACGUAUCAAUGCAAUUAAUGAGCAGUCAAUGGAAUCAAUAUCGAUAAUGGAUAAAAGAGCAUGCAGAUUCAGGUGGCAUCGCGUUCUCCUUCCUCUCACUAACUCAACUCCGAUCACUUUCUGUUACACACUCCGCCGUACCGAAGGCGGUCCUUGGUGGCGAAGGCGGAAUGAACACGAUUGAAUCCUAACAUCCUAAUCGAAUCAUGGUGUUGAUCACGAAUAUAAUGGCGAAAUUUCCUAAUCCUUCCAGAAUUUCUCAAAUCGGCAAGAGAUAUGUAGGAACCCUAACUGGUAAAACCUACAUCAGCCGCCACUCUCCAAGAAUCGGAGCCCGAGGGAUUAGGGCUCCGAUCCGCCUACAUCUCCUCUACGUCACGGCGACAAUGAAAUGAAAGAAAAAGGAUUUGAAACUCACCUUGCCAAAGACGACGACUGCGACAGCGAAAUCUCUACUUCCAGGUAUUUUGUUUGUUUUUUUUCCAGUGACUCCCUUGGUUGUUCAUCGUCUGCUGAUCUCAUGCCGCCUGCCUUGCUGUCAGGAUUGUAGUAGGACUAUAAUGGCUUGCUGCUGCUAUUGCGGUUUAGGUAGCGGCAGGAUUAAUGCUGCUGCUAUUGCGGUUUAGGUAGCGGCAGGAUUAAUGCUGCUGCUGUUUGUGGCAAGGGAUGAGCUACUGAACAUAUUCUGACUUGUAAGACUAUUUGAAACCACAUGUGGAGAUGGGGAUGGAAAUGUAGGGCUUAAAGCAGUAGACCCCUUAUUUUGACUUGAGCUGUUGCCAAAAGUAAAUAUAUUCGCGGGUGAUAUCGCCAAGGACGUGUAUGCUGCAGAUGGUUAAAGUUUGGAUUAUUUCAUGACUUGUUGAUUUGUUAACUGUUGUUGUUAUUGCUUUUGAAAUGUUUGGCUCAAUUUGCUUUGCACUACAGGGGUUUGCAUCGGUUAGUUAUGUGGUUUCUACUGAAUCGUUGAUGUUAUUGCCAUGCCAAUGUAUUGUUGAAAACUUGUUUCAAGACCAUGGUUUGCUCGAUGACUUGUGGAAAUGGUUCCAUGCUGACUGUUCAUGUUGCAACAGGUUCUAUUAUAUUGAAAUGCUCAUGCUAUGCCAUGUUGUUGAUAAUCCGUUAUGUUUUAGUUUCAAUUAGGGUUUGGUUAGGGAAUUGCCUUAGCCUUAUUAAUGUGGUUAGAAAGUUAGGAUGUGGAGUGAAGGUUAAUUGGUUGGGGUGAAUGGUAUUGGAUGCUCAUGGCUUGUUUUGUUUGUCAGGUAGCUCGAAAACUGGAAGUAGUUUUGGCUGCAACAUGGUUUUGUAUGCAAUGCUUCACAUUGUAAUUAACUGGUACAAACCUGAUCAUGCUAUGUGAAUGUGUUUUGCUUCUAACUGCUCAAUUGGACUUUGCAUUACCAUGUUUGUUGUACCAUGCUGUUUGCUGCCUUAAUUUCACUUGGUUGUCACACUGUCUUCUGAACUAAACCAGACGUAGGAUUAUUGUGAUGUUACUGACUUGAUGCAUGCCUUCAUUACGGGUCUGAGUUUACUUGAUUUUGUUGUAGCCCUAGUGUGAUUGGACUGGUUCACAGCUUGGCUGCAAGCAUGUUUGAUCUGCUUGUGGAUGUGUGGAAUGCAAUAUGAUGGUAUUGCAGCAUUAUUGUAAGGUUUGCAAUGGCUUGGGGAUGUUGACUGUAUUGUUGUGUUUGGUAGGCUGUUUUGAAUGGUUUUAUUGAUAUGUGUUAUGGUCACGAACAUGCACACUUGGAAAUGAUAUGGCGCACGUGAAUUUCUUUUUGUAAGAGAUGGAGGGAUGCAAGAUUUGAUCAUGAAGACCAAUGAAAAUAGGACUUAGGGAUUUUGACAUGAUGAGUUGACUUUGUUCAACUGGUUGACCAAAAAGUCAAUAGUUGAUCAAAAGUCAACUCAUGCAAAAAAAUAUAAUUUCUUUGUAACUUUUUUAAUACAAUGAACAUGGACAAUGAUAUGUAUGAAUGUAAUGAUUUGUUAUGAAUGAAUGGGAUUUGAAUGACA